UUGUACUUUGGGACAAGGGCAAGAAGAACCAGGUUCAACCCAGAGGAAAUAACUACAGGAUCUACAUCACUAUGUUCUCUUCAUCCAGAAGAUUAUCAACAUUUGGAAGUCAAAGAGAUGAAAACGUUGGAAGAUAUAAAUUCUGGGAGCAAGCAGAUGCAGAUUGAUUUAUCGGAAGCAUGUUUACUGCAUCUGAAUAGGAAGAGUAGUGACUUUGAGUGUCUUCUAUUGAAACCAACUAUAAGUAUAUGACUGUGAUCUUACUUUUCGUCUGCCUGCAGUGGUAUGCUUUGAGAUGAAUUGUGCUUGUCUCACCCUGUGACUGAGCAAGAAUCUUUAAAUAACUUCCACUUUUCAGCAUUAUAUGAAGCUGAUUUUCAGCAACAGAACAACAUUAGCUUUAUUAACAUAAGUGUUACAGAAAAUCUGACCAGGAAUGAAGCUUGAUUGUUGCACAUUGAGUUUCAUGGAUACAGUCAAAAAAUUAUUGUACUGUAAAUUAAAUAUAC